rnacentral:rRNA from 1 species
AAGAGUGGUCUGCGGUCCAUCAGCUAGUUGGUAAGGUAAUGGCUUACCAAGGCUAAGACGGAUAGGGGGCGUGAGAGCGCGAACCCCCACACUGGUACUGAUACACGGACCAGAUACCUACGGGUAGCAGCAGCGAGGAAUAUUGCGCAAUGGGGGAAACCCUGACGCAGCAACGCCGCGUGGAGGAAGAAGGCCUUCGGGUCGUAAAGCUCUUUCGCCAGAGAUGAUAAUGACAGUAUCUGGUAAAGAAACCCCGGCUAACUCCGUGCCAGCAGCCGCGGUAAUACGGAGGGGGUUAGCGUUGUUCGGAAUUACUGGGCGUAAAGCGCACGUAGGCGGACUAGUCAGUUAGAGGUGAAAUCCCAGGGCUCAACCCUGGAACUGCCUUUAAUACUGCUAGUCUUGAGUUCGAGAGAGGUGAGUGGAAUUCCAAGUGUAGAGGUGAAAUUCGUAGAUAUUUGGAGGAACACCAGUGGCGAAGGCGGCUCACUGGCUCGAUACUGACGCUGAGGUGCGAAAGUGUGGGGAGCAAACAGGAUUAGAUACCCUGGUAGUCCACACCGUAAACGAUGAAUGCCAGACGUCGGGUAGCAUGCUAUUCGGUGUCGGAGCUAACGUAUUAAGCACACCGCCUGGGGAGUACGGUCGCAAGAUUAAAACUCAAAGGAAUUGACGGGGGCCCGCACAAGCGGUGGAGCAUGUGGUUUAAUUCGACGCAACGCGAAGAACCUUACCAGCCCUUGACAUCCUGAUCGCGGAGGUUGUAAUUAAGUUUCCUUCAUUUAGUUGGAUCAGUGACAGGUGCUGCACGGCUGUCGUCAGCUCGUGUCGUGAGAUGUUAGGUUAAGUCCUGCAACGAGCGCAACCCCUAUUGUUAGUUGCCAUCAUUAAGUUGGGCACUCUAGCGAGACUGCCGGUGAUAAGCCGGAGGAAGGCGGGGACGACGUCAAGUCAUCAUGGCCCUUAUGGGCUGGGCUACACACGUGCUACAAUGGCGGUAACAAUGGGCAGCGACACCGCAAGGGUGAGCUAAUCCCCAAAAACCGUCUCAGUUCGGAUUGCACUCUGCAACUCGAGAGCAUGAAGUUGGAAUCGCUAGUAAUCGUGGAUCAGCAUGCCACGGUGAAUACGUUCCCGGGCCUUGUACACACCGCCCGUCACACCAUGGGAGUUGGUUUUCCCCGACGCUGGUGAGCUAACCUUUUGGGAGGCAGCCAACCACGGUAGAGUCAGCGACUGGGGUGAAGUCGUAACAAGGUAGCCGUAGGGGAACCUGCGGCUGGAUCACCUCCUU